rnacentral:rRNA from 1 species
UACGAAGGGGGCUAGCGUUGUUCGGAAUCACUGGGCGUAAAGCGCACGCAGGCGGAUCGAUAAGUCGGGGGUGAAAGCCCGGGGCUCAACCUCGGAAUUGCCUUCGAUACUGGCGGUCUCGAGUCCGGGAGAGGUGAGUGGAAUUCCUAGUGUAGAGGUGAAAUUCGUAGAUAUUAGGAGGAACACCAGUGGCGAAGGCGGCUCGCGGGCCCGUUGCUGACGCUCAGGUGCGAAAGCGUGGGGAGCAAACAGG